ACUAGUGAUUUCCGGUUGACCUGCCGGAGGUCACUGCUAUCGGGGUUCGAUUAAGCCAUGCGAGUUGAGAGGGUUAAGACCCUCGGCGGACUGCUCAGUAACACGUGGAUAACCUGCCCUAAGGUGGAGGAUAACCUCGGGAAACUGGGGAUAAUACUCCAUAGGUUAAAGGUACUGGAAUGUUCUUGAACCGAAAGUUCCGGCGCCUUAGGAUGGAUCUGCGGCCGAUUAGGUUGUUGUUGGGGUAGUGGCCCAACAAGCCUGUAAUCGGUACGGGUUGUGGGAGCAAGAGCCCGGAGAUGGAAUCUGAGACACGAUUCCAGGCCCUACGGGGCGCAGCAGGCGCGAAAACUUUACAAUGCAGGAAACUGUGAUAAGGGAACCCCGAGUGCCCGUAUAUGCGGGCUGUCCGGAUGUUUAAAACGCAUCCGAAGAAAGGGCCGGGCAAGACCGGUGCCAGCCGCCGCGGGUAAUACCGGCGGCUCGAGUGGUGGCCACUUUUAUUGGGCUUAAAGCGUUCGUAGCUUGAAUAAUAAGUCUCUUGGGAAAUCUGCAGGCUUAACCUGCAGGCGUUUAAGAGAAACUGUUGUUCUAGGAACCGGAAGAGGUGAGAGUACUCCGGGGGUAGGAGUGAAAUCCUGUAAUCCCCGGGGGACCACCGAUGGCGAAGGCAUCUCACCAGGACGGCUUCGACAGUGAGGAACGAAAGCUGGGGGAGCGAACCGGAUUAGAUACCCGGGUAGUCCCAGCCGUAAACGAUGUGCGUUAGGUGUGCCGGUGACCACGAGUCACUGGGGUGCCGAAGGGAAACCGUGAAACGUACCGCCUGGGAAGUACGGUCGCAAGGCUGAAACUUAAAGGAAUUGGCGGGGGAGCACCACAACGGGUGGAGCCUGCGGUUUAAUUGGACUCAACGCCGGAAAUCUCACCGGAUAAGACAGCGGAAUGAUAACCAGGCUGAAGACUUUGUUUGACCAGCUGAGAGGAGGUGCAUGGCCGUCGUCAGUUCGUACUGUGAAGCAUCCUGUUUAGUCAGGCAACGAGCGAGACCCACGCCAACAGUUGCCAGCAUGUUCUCCGGAAUGAUGGGGACACUGUUGGGACCGCCUAA
rnacentral:rRNA from 1 species